rnacentral:rRNA from 1 species
UACGGAGGGUCCAAGCGUUAUCCGGAAUCAUUGGGCUUAAAGGGUCCGUAGGCUGUUUUGUAAGUCAGUGGUGAAAGCCCAUCGCUCAACGGUGGAACGGCCAUUGAUACUGCAAGACUUGAAUUAUUGGGAAGUAACUAGAAUAUGUAGUGUAGCGGUGAAAUGCUUAGAGAUUACAUGGAAUACCAAUUGCGAAGGCAGGUUACUACCAAUAUAUUGACGCUGAUGGACGAAAGCGUGGGGAGCGAACAGG